UACGGAGGGUGCAAGCGUUAGUCGGAAUUACUGGGCGUAAAGGGUGCGUAGGCGGAAAUAUAAGUCAGAUGUGAAAUACUGAAGCUCAACUUCAGCUGUGCAUCUGAAACUGUGUUUCUAGAGGAAUAGCGGAGAAAACGGAAUUCCACGUGUAGCGGUGAAAUGCGUAGAUAUGUGGAAGAACACCAGUGGCGAAGGCGGUUUUCUAGCUUUCUCCUGACGCUGAGGCACGAAAGCAAGGGGAGCAAACAGG
rnacentral:rRNA from 1 species